UGAUAUUACUUUUGCUGUCGUACUGUUGGUAUUUAAAAGUGUACUACAUAAUUUUUUGGAAUUUGAGAAAAAUAUUUAUGUCUUAAUUAAGCUGAAAGCUUUGUAUGGAUUUAAUUUGAGUUCUUCAUCCAUGACUAGUUCGAUAGGUUCUGUUAGUUUGUUUCCUUCCCUUUCAGCAUAAAUUUGGCUUUAGUGCAUUCAUGGGAGAAGGAGCUUCAAAAGCUGAAGUGUGAAUACAGUUGCUUAUUUGUAUUACGUUGUUAAGGUGUAUAUUUCUCAGUUCAUUGGUUUCUGCAGUUGCUAGAGGUCUUUUUAUUUCCUUUUUCUUUAAUUAGCUUCAAUUAUUUUUAGGGUUCGGAACCGAGAGGUCAACGGACAUAUCUGCAGUUGUAACUGUUUUGGAUCAUUUGGUUCCAAGUACAUUCAGGAGUUGGAAUUUUAUCAGUUAAAGCGGAAGGGAUUGAUACCAAUGGGUUCGGGCAGUGGCAGGCCAAGUCAUAACCCAACUCCUCGGGUGGGGCCCACCAUCAAAGCACCCUCUCCUCUGUCUUCAACUCCAGAGUCUCUUCUUCCUCUCACUCCCACAAUGAGGAACAUAGACGUACGUUUGUUGAGUUAUUAGUUUCAUUACACAAUGAACUUUGUCCAUCGUUAAGCUUUACUCGCUAUACUUUGAAUUGUUUUCAAGUGGUCCCUGAAGUUGCACUCCAUCCAUCACCCACGAAGUUACCAUUGCUUGGGAAGCCUACGUGGAC
rnacentral:lncRNA from 1 species